AUGAACGCUGGCGGCGUGCCUAAUACAUGCAAGUCGAGCGAACAGACGAGGAGCUUGCUCCUCUGACGUUAGCGGCGGACGGGUGAGUAACACGUGGAUAACCUACCUAUAAGACUGGGAUAACUUCGGGAAACCGGAGCUAAUACCGGAUAAUAUAUUGAACCGCAUGGUUCAAUAGUGAAAGACGGUUUUGCUGUCACUUAUAGAUGGAUCCGCGCCGCAUUAGCUAGUUGGUAAGGUAACGGCUUACCAAGGCGACGAUGCGUAGCCGACCUGAGAGGGUGAUCGGCCACACUGGAACUGAGACACGGUCCAGACUCCUACGGGAGGCAGCAGUAGGGAAUCUUCCGCAAUGGACGAAAGCCUGACGGAGCAACGCCGCGUGAGUGAUGAAGGUCUUCGGAUCGUAAAACUCUGUUAUUAGGGAAGAACAAAUGUGUAAGUAACUAUGCACGUCUUGACGGUACCUAAUCAGAAAGCCACGGCUAACUACGUG
rnacentral:rRNA from 1 species